GAUUAGUGGCGAACGGGUGAGUAACACGUGGGCAAUCUGCCCUUCACUCUGGGACAAGCCCUGGAAACGGGGUCUAAUACCGGAUAACACUUCUUCGGGCAUCUGAAGAGGUUAAAAGCUCCGGCGGUGAAGGAUGAGCCCGCGGCCUAUCAGCUUGUUGGUGGGGUAAUGGCCUACCAAGGCGACGACGGGUAGCCGGCCUGAGAGGGCGACCGGCCACACUGGGACUGAGACACGGCCCAGACUCCUACGGGGAGGCAGCAGUGGGAGAAUAUUGCACAAUGGGGCGAAAAGCCUGAUGCAGCGACCCCCCCGUGAGGGGAUGACGGCCUUCCGGGUUGUAAACCCUCUUCUCACCAGGGAA
rnacentral:rRNA from 1 species